GCACGACAAUAAUCAAUGAAUAUCCAGUAUAAAAUGGUAUGCAAUACAAAGGAAUGGCUAUACACAUUUCAAUGGCUAAACAGCAUUUUCUGUCAAGACACGAUUUAUGAGAGAGAAAGCGAAACUUUUCACAGUGAAGGGCCAUAAAACCCUGGCUAACAGUUAGAAUAACCCUUUCAAUGCUGGCUAGACCUCCUAGAUAAUUAAGAUCUAUUCUUAUGUAAUUUUAAAUAAAAUAACAUUUAAACCAGUUCAUUAGUCAUUUCCUGGAACCAUCCAAUAAGAGAAUCUACCAUAUUAUAUAAGCAGAGUUUAAUUUGUCUAAAAGAUAUCUAUCUUAUAUUAGAGCAAAUCAAUACACCUGGAUAAAAACAGCGGUAUGCUAACACGUGAUACUAUCACAUCAAUAUAUAAUUAUUCUUAAGUCCACCUGCAGAAUGGAAUGUUUAUAACUAUAUAUUCUUUAGUUAACUAGGAUUUCUUAAUAUGGAAAUCUAACCGUGCUUUAUCCAGUCAUAUCUCAUGCCAUUAAUAAAUUUUAAUUAAUUUAAUUAAUUAAAUGAAACCAGUAUAAUUACCAGUUGAGUAGAUAUUUCAUCCGAUUGGUAGAUAGUCUCAGGAACUUAUUUGGAUGUCUGUAGGUGCAUGAGUUAUGGUGAAAGGUGGUGUUGGUUAGAAAGUCAGUAUAAUUCUAAGUGUUAGAGUUUUAAGAGUAGAGUGUUAGUCUCAGAUGUUGUCCUGGGUUUCUCUGCAUGUCCGAUUUGGAGUCCCCAAACUUCCAAUUCCUCUCUCCUCUUUUUCCUUCUUUGCAUACCCUCUAUCUUCCCUUUGUCCUAACUUUUAAAGGGCCAGACUCUCUGUACGUCAUCAGUUGAUAACCCAAUAGAAGCACUAGAGGUGUGCUUACCUAGGGAUCGCAAUUUAGGUAUUUGGUCUAUAGAGGGCAGUCUUGUCCCACUAAACAUACCUAUCCAGGAAAGAGUUAACUUUUCUUGGUGGCUAUUUUGACGUCAUUUUGGCCUAUCUUGAUAGUGGCCAUAACUUACGUUUCCUUUCAGAUCAAACAGUUUCUUUAAGUUUUGUCCAGACUAUGUGUCUGGCAAAUUCUGAGUUUUGACCCGUAACUUACAAUGGGACCUUAUACAUAUAGACAGUAAAAUUUUAUUAUUUAAUCUUCUCUGUCACAAUUGUCUGGGUUUAGAAUUGAUUAUAUUCCAUUAGCAUUUAGACAGUCUGUCCAACCCCCGUUCUCCUUAUCACUUGGUUUGUUUAUACUAUGCAUUCCUUUAGCUCUGGCAAAGUGGUUAGUUUUACAGAUAGAAAUCUUGUGUCUUUUUGUUAACUUGGAAAUAACAAAAUGGAGUCUGCUCUGUUCAGAGUGACUCAGAAUAUACACUUUUAAUUUCUAUCAUAGCACAAGAUGUCUGCCAAUAUAAAUACCCUGACAUGUAUCAGAGGCACAUGGUGAGAACAAUGGAUGAAGCACAUGGUGAGAACAAUGGAUGGCGGCUCCUCUCCCCCGCAGCAGCCUAGCCCACCAAGGGGAGGUUAUAAACCCCAUGGUCUCUGUGCCCAAACCACAGGGUGUAGGGACAGUCGGUCCUGUUCCCCUGCAGCAGGGCUGUUUAUCCAAAGGGGAGACAGCCUGUCUUCCCCUCCAGCAGCAGACCCAGGUCUGGAGUGAGGAGCCUACUACGCCGUUCCCUCACCUGGGCUCCAACCAGGCUACUCCCGUGGUAGCGCUCACACCAGGGAAGAGUACCGCUGGUCUCUGCCCACCCAGCAACCCAUCGAUCCAGAGUGCUAGUACCCCCCAGAGCCAAGGUGGAGCUCC